AGACGGAGAAACGAAAAUUCUAAUGCGAUAAUUGGAUUUCUAAUGGAUGCUGUCGCCCCACCGAUGCCGUGUACCUCAUCUAACAGUUAUUGGUAACACGCACACCAAUGCGUGGAUAAUUUUUUGUCCAGAUGCUUUUCUAAGCAUAUUGCAGCGACUUGAUUUUUAAGUCAUGUGGGCUCACCUAACAGUUAUUGACCACACUUCUUAGUUAAGUUUGACCCACCAUUCACAAGCAGGUGCAAAACUGUCAUUGAAUCUCUCACCUAACAGUUAUUGGACCCAACUCCAUCUUUACUCUGAAGCAACUCUUUGCUAAUAAAGUGGUUGCGUGUUUCCGAUGCAAGUGAACCACUGUGAUCGACUGUGAACAAUCAACGUCGGUAGCACGCCCGCACAUCUA
rnacentral:lncRNA from 1 species